rnacentral:rRNA from 1 species
UGCCAGCAGCCGCGGUAAUACGGAGGGUGCAAGCGUUAAUCGGAAUUACUGGGCGUAAAGCGCGCGUAGGUGGUCUGUUAAGUCGGAUGUGAAAUCCCUGGGCUCAACCUAGGAACUGCAUUCAAAACUUAUAGACUAGAGUACGAUAGAGGAGAGUAGAAUUCCUGGUGUAGCGGUGAAAUGCGUAGAUAUCAGGAGGAAUACCAAUGGCGAAGGCAACUCUCUGGAUCGACACUGACGCUGAGGUGCGAAAGCGUGGGUAGCAAUCAGGAUUAGCUA